rnacentral:rRNA from 1 species
GAUGAACGCUGGCGGCGUGCCUAAUACAUGCAAGUCGAGCGAACAGACGAGGAGCUUGCUCCUCUGACGUUAGCGGCGGACGGGUGAGUAACACGUGGAUAACCUACCUAUAAGACUGGGAUAACUUCGGGAAACCGGGGCUAAUACCGGAUAAUAUAUUGAACCGCAUGGUUCAAUAGUGAAAGACGGUUUUGCUGUCACUUAUAGAUGGAUCCGCGCCGCAUUAGCUAGUUGGUAAGGUAACGGCUUACCAAGGCGACGAUGCGUAGCCGACCUGAGAGGGUGAUCGGCCACACUGGAACUGAGACACGGUCCAGACUCCUACGGGAGGCAGCAGUAGGGAAUCUUCCGCAAUGGGCGAAAGCCUGACGGAGCAACGCCGCGUGAGUGAUGAAGGUCUUCGGAUCGUAAAACGCUGUUAUUAGGGAAGAACAAAUGUGUAAGUAACUAUGCACGUCUUGACGGUACCUAAUCAGAAAGCCACGGCUAACUACGUG